GAAAGAAUAAAAGAUGGUAAUAUGCACAUAAAUUGAAUUGGAUCUCCAGGUCUGUCUUCUCUGAUGUCAUUUGGAUUUGAUUUGGGGAUAUAGUUCCGCAGCAAAACA